AUACCAUGGUGAGGACAUUUCCGCAACAACUCAUUAAACCUCUCCCAUGCCUCAUACAAAGACUCAUCUUCAAAUUGUUGAAAGGAAGUUAUUUCCUUCCGGAGCUU